GGUAGCGGCCUCUAGCAAGACGUGCCAACUCCUAUACGCACACGAAGAUCAUAUCAGACGAACCAUCACAACAUAAUAUACAUGCUAUUCCCUUUGCCUCACGAUAUUUGGUCUAGCUUCAAGCCGACCGCUCUUUCUCGAUCCUGUGAUUCGGAAUCCCUUUGUAGGUUAACUCUUAACCGUACGUAGCAUGGCCAUGCAUUUUCGGAUCUGAUCACUCGAGGGGCCCAGAGAUAUCACUCUCAAUCAGAGAGGGGCAAAUCCCAUCUUGACUGACCAUGUCUCAUAGCAUGCUUCUUGACCAACCCGAAAGCUACCUUUAUAACUACCCUGUUACAGCGUAGCGUUUGAUAGCCCCUAAGUAGGUCGAUCCACAUCUAGAAUACAUGCGACAGUCUCAGGUCUAAGGACAAAGCGUAUAUGUUGUUUAAAGAGAGAACUACUUCUCGUGUUGGGUCAGUCCUAGCACAUGUCUCCACAUGUGUCCACAUUAUUAGUUCAACAUCUGCAUGUCCAUGACUUGUGAAACAUAGUCAUCAACUAAUACAUGUGCUAGUCUAAUAUUCAUGUGUGUCCUCACAUGAACUCCGACUAGGUACAACUUUAGAAUAACCAUACAAGUAAAGAGUUUCACAUACAAUUCACAUAAUUGCAAAUCAAUUCAAGUAGCCUUCAAUGGAUAUUCAAUGAACACAACAUACAAAUCAUGGAUACAAAUGGAAUAUCAUCAUCUCUAUGAUUGCCUCUAGGGCAUACCUCCAACAGCUCCACCACCAAAGACCUCCACUCAUACUCCACUCAUGAAGACAUCCACCACCACUCUCUGAGAGAAAGAAUUAGCCACCAUACUUUAGAAUCUACCGCUGUAUUACUCCACCUCUGUACUACCACCACUAGAAUAAAGGGAGGCCGUUGGAGCUCGUCCCUCGGUUUGUAAGGUAAUCAAGGUUUGUGCUAAGUGCUUGGGGUUUCCCGAAAAGGAAAGCCGCAUGUAAGCUUGUCCCCUGGAAAUGGAUUAAGCUGUCCUGGUAGCAUCCCUGCCUUCCUUUAAGCUCGAUUGUAUGGGGCGAUGUCUCUACGCUAGGGACCCUAGAAGAGAAACCUCUGCGUGUGUCGUUCUCGUGUUAGCCCGUGUAGCGGCGUUUGAGGAGAACCCUGUGUGCGCAGAGAAGUGUUCCCUUCGGGUGGAACUGCCUGGGGAGACGGUAGAGCCUGAGUCCUGUGUGAGCGUGGCUGGGGACGGUGAGGGUGCAGUCCGGGCUGGCCUGGUUCUGAAGCGAGCCAGCGAGGCAUGCGGUGAGUACCGAGUAGGACUGUCACAAGCAUAGCAGCACGACCGGCUGAAUCUUCGGUCUCGCCAACCCGCAAAGAUCCUGAGAAUAGGCUUAAUUAAGGAAUAUACCUAAUCACGCACCCGCGCGUGCUCGUAUCCCUGAAAACGACCCCGAAUAGUAGCUCAAUAGUGCGCAAUAGUGAGUGAAUAGUGGCUGAAUAGUGCCGCCACCCAUAGGUGCUCCACCCACUCCCGGUGAGUGCUCGGGCACUAUUCAUAUUCCCAAAUUUGAAUAGUGAGCUGAAUUUAAAUAGUACCGCGAAUUUGAAUAGUGUUCGUUGAUUUUGAAUAGUGCUGUGAAUAGUAACUCGAAAUUUGAAUUCCGAAAUUUUUCGGAGUCGCUCGUUCCCUCGCCCUGGAUCGUAUUAUCCCCUCGUCCAAUACUGGCUCUGAUACCAGUCUGGGAAAACCGCGGUCGAGGGCGAGGGAACGAGCAACUCCGAAAAAUUUCGGAUUUCAAAUUUCGAGUUACUAUUCACAGUACUAUUCAAAUUCGGCGAACACUAUUCAAAUUCGCGGCACUAUUUAAAUUCAGCUCACUAUUCAAAUUCGGGAAUAUGAAUAGUGCCCGAGCACUCACCAGGAGUGGAUGGAGCACCUUUGGGUGGCGGCACUAUUCAACCACUAUUCACUCACUAUUACGCACUAUUGAGCUACUAUUCGGGGUCGCAUUCAGGGGAUACGAGCACGCGCGGGUGCGUGAUUAGGUAUAUUCCUUAAUUAAGCCUAUUCUCAGGAUCUUUGCGGGUUGGCGAGACCGAAGAUUCAGCCGGACGUGCUGCUAUGCUUGUGACAGUCCUACUCGGUACUCACCGCAUAACCACACUACGACAUCAACCAGAUCACAACCAGAGCAUCACCAAGAAUCACGAAGACACACUCCACCACCGAAGACCUCCACCCACACUCCACUCAUGAAGACAUCCACCACCACUCUCUGAGAGAGAUAGAAUUAGCCACCAUAUUUUAGAAUCUACCGCUGUAUUACUCCACCUCUGUACUACCACCACUAGAAUAAAGGGAGGCCGUUGGAGCUCGUCCCUCGGUUUGUAAGGUAAUCAAGGUUUGUGCUAAGUGCUUGGGGUUUCCCGAAAGGGAAAGCUGCAUGUAAGCUUGACCCGUGGAAAUGGAUUAAGCUGUCCUGGUAGCAUCCCUGCCUUCCUUUAAGCUCGUUCUUAUGGGGCGAUGUCUCUACGCUAGGGACCCUAGAGGAGAAACCUCUGCGUGUGUCGUUCUCGUGUUAGCCCUGAUAGCGGCGUUUGAGGAGAACCCUGUGUGCGCAGAGAAGUGUUCCCUUCGGGUGGAACUGCCUGGGGAGACGGUAGAGCCUGAGUCCUGUGUGAGCGUGGCUGGGGACGGUGAGGGUGCAGACCGGGCUGGCCUGGUUCUGAAGCGAGCCAGCGAGGCAUGCGCCUACUGGCCCGGCUCCGUCCGCCGCCCCGGUCCUCCUCCGUCCCUCCGCCGCCACCGGGGACAAGGAUGGAAAGUGAUGAGGAGGAGCCGGAAUAAGCCACUUUUUUUUGCUUCCGGUGGGUGGAGAAACGUAGAGACCGCAUUUUGCGGGGCUUCUACUGGUUUUCGCGGGUGAGCCGUUUUGCCUUCUCCCGUUUGGCACGGCUUCAUCAAAAGCCACCCUAGAAGCCGCUCGAUGAGCCGUGCCAAAGGGGCCCUAAGAUUGUCUAAAACCUGAGGUUAAUUUUUCGUCCUACGGUUGCUCGCUCCCCGCGCCCCGCGCCAGGCCGCCCUCGCCACGUGCCUCCGCCUAGCCGCGCCCCCCUCUCCCCGCGCCGUCGGGUGAACCACAUGCGCCCGCGCAGGCCCGAGCUGCACGCCUCGCCUCCCGUGCCACAUGCCACCGCCUGGCUGCGUGCGCCCACUCCCCGUGCCCUAACCAACGGCCCGCCGCUGGCCUCCUGCCACUGCCACCGCACCAAGCCGCCCUUCGCCCGCAGGACCUUGGGAGAGAGACGAUCGAGAGAUAGGUUGUGCCAGCCUCUGGAAGCAGUAUGGAAACAUAAGCGGCAACUUUGUCUUUUC
rnacentral:lncRNA from 1 species